AGUUACUGUCUCAAGUCAAUUGCAAAGAAGGUUACAAUGACUCAAGGACACUGGAAUCAAACCCCAAGAGGCACCCAUCUCUAAUUCCCAUGCUGAGCUGAAUCCAGGUGAACAGUAGUGAUACAGGAGUUCUGUAUAUGACUCAGUGCUCAUCACAGGUCCGUGGACAAGGGGCCUCGGCAUCAGCUGGGAGCAUGUUGGAGGUGCAGACUCUCAGGUCCGUCCCAGGCUUACUCAAUCAGAAUCCGCAUUUUUCCGAGAUACGCAGGGGAUCAGAGCCUGAGAGGAUCUGCCCAAAAAACCACUGUGGAAUGUUCCACAAAGAGGAAGGCUAAUCGGCCACCUUGAUACAUC